rnacentral:rRNA from 1 species
GAUGAACGCUAGCGGCAGGCCUAAUACAUGCAAGUCGAGCGGCAAGUUGAGAAGCAAUUCGAGACCUAGAGCGGCGUACGGGUGCGUAACGCGUAUGCAACCUACCUCAUACAGGGGGAUAGCCCGGAGAAAUCUGGAUUAAUACCCCAUAGUACAACGCGAGGGCAUCUGAGUGUUGUUAAAGAUUCAUCGGUAUGAGAUGGGCAUGCGUCUGAGUAGCUAGUUGGCGGUGUAACGGACCACCAAGGCGACGAUCAGUAGGGGUUCUGAGAGGAAGGUCCCACACACUGGCACGGAGAUACGGGCCAGACUCCUACGGGAGGCAGCAGUAGGGAAUAUUGGGCAAUGGUCGGAAGACUGACCCAGCCAUGCCGCGUGCAGGAAGAAGGCCUUUUGGUUGUAAAGCACUUUAAGCGAGGAGGAGGCUCUUAAGGUUAAUAUCCUUGAUGAGUGGACGUUACUCGCAGAAUAAGCACCGGCUAACUCUGUGCCAGCCGCCGCGGUAAGAC